rnacentral:rRNA from 1 species
CCCACGCCAACAGUUGCCCAGCUCGGUCCUCCCGGGGAUGGUGGGGACACUGUUGGGACCGCCUCUGCUAAAGAGGAGGAAGGAAUGGGGCAACGGUAGGUCAGCAUGCCCCGAAUUAUCUGGGCUACACGCGGGCUACAAUGGGUGGGACAAUGGGUAUCGACACCGAAGGUGAAGGCAAUCUCCUAAACCCAUCCGUAGUUCGGAUUGUGGGCUGCAACUCGCCCACAUGAAGCUGGAAUCUGUAGUAAUCGUGUCUCAAAAUGGCACGGUGAAUAUGUCCCUGCUCCUU